UCUGAUGAAUGCUCCUCUAGCUUUAUUGCAAUCCUAGUGCACAAAUCUUUAUUAAAACGUUCCUGUGAGAUUCAGCGGACUCUUGAAAGUAAACAGAGACACUGCUGCAUGUCUUCCUUUGUCGCAAACAAUUUUUGCUUCAGAAAGACUUUUUUUAAAACCUCCUUUCUUACUUAAUCAUGGUGCAGGUCUACAAAUGUGACAGAGUGUUUAAUUAUCUUUUUAACUCUUCACAUUCAUUCUGCCUUCCACUGGUUCUUUUUGCUGCUCAUUACCUUUUACAGAGUUUGCUCUCGAAGAAACUGAAAGCUGAGAGAAGAAUUUAGAAGCAGACUUUCCUGGCAAAGAACUUUCUGAGUGCAUCUGAAAUAAACAGCACAGCAAAAAUA